UACAGAGGGUGCAAGCGUUGUUCGGAAUUAUUGGGCGUAAAGGGCGCUUAGGCGGUUCGGCAAGUCUCUAGUGAAAUCUCAGGGCUCAACUCUGAGUCUGCUGGGGAAACUGCCGGGCUUGAGACCGGGAGAGGUGAGUGGAAUUCCCAGUGUAGCGGUGAAAUGCGUAGAUAUUGGGAGGAACACCAGUGGCGAAGGCGGCUCACUGGACCGGUACUGACGCUGAUGCGCGAAAGCGUGGGGAGCAAACGGG
rnacentral:rRNA from 1 species